AACGAACGCUGGCGGCAUGCCUAACACAUGCAAGUCGAACGAGACCUUCGGGUCUAGUGGCGCACGGGUGCGUAACGCGUGGGAACCUUCCCUUAGGUUCGGAAUAACUCUCCGAAAGGGGUGCUAAUACCGGAUAAUGUCUUCGGACGAAAGAUUUAUCGCCUUUGGAUGGGCCCGCGUUGGAUUAGCUAGUUGGUAGGGUAAAAGCCUACCAAGGCGACGAUCCAUAGCUGGUCUGAGAGGAUGAUCAGCCACACUGGGACUGAGACACGGCCCAGACUCCUACGGGAGGCAGCAGUGGGGAAUAUUGGACAAUGGGCGAAAGUCUGAUCCAGCAAUGCCGCGUAAGUGAUGAAGGCCUUAGGGUUGUAAAGCUCUUUUACCCGGGAUGAUAAUGACAGUACCGGGAGAAUAAGCUCCGGCUAACUCCGUG
rnacentral:rRNA from 1 species